rnacentral:rRNA from 1 species
CCUACGGGGGGCUGCAGUGGGGAAUAUUGGACAAUGGGGGCAACCCUGAUCCAGCCAUGCCGCGUGUGUGAAGAAGGCCCUCGGGUUGUAAAGCACUUUCAGUGAGGAAGAACGCCUGGUGGUUAAUACCCAUCAGGAAAGACAUCACUCACAGAAGAAGCACCGGCUAACUCCGUGCCAGCAGCCGUGGUAAUACGGAGGGUGCGAGCGUUAAUCGGAAUUACUGGGCGUAAAGCGCGCGUAGGUGGCUUGAUAAGCCGGUUGUGAAGCCCCGGGCUCAACCUGGGAACGGCAUCCGGAACUGUCAAGCUAGAGUGCAGGAGAGGAAGGUAGAAUUCCCGGUGUAGCGGUGAAAUGCGUAGAGAUCGGGAGGAAUACCAGUGGCGAAGGCGGCCUUCUGGACUGACACUGACACUGAGGUGCGAAAGCGUGGGUAGCAAACAGGAUUAGAUACCCCGGUAGUC